GUUCACGUCAGUAACAACGAUAGGGUUUUACUCACAUUUAUGAAGUCAAAUAUCAAUGGUUUAUCUGUGAUUUCGACGUAGGCCCUUGCGCUGCACUUCUGAGCAGAUGUGUCAGAGGCACCACUGAUUCAAAACCAUCGAACAGAGGUGAGGAGACCUGAGAUCCUCCUCUUUGUUGACUUGGUUUCGUGCUGAAUGUGCGAAUGUGAAUGAGUUUUUCGGGGAAAUGUGGGUGUUUUAAAGAGAAGGGGUAAUACCUGUACUUCCCUCCUCAUGCAUUCCCACAGUGUUAUCGUACACACAGUGACGCCAAUUGAAUUCAAAUACGAUAAAUGAUGUGCUUUCCUACUGUUUCACUGCCACAGUGACCAGGUUGGACGUUGUUGUUUAUCGUGGGACAGGAAGGAAGCAUUGUGAAGGUAAAAUUGUUUGCAAAACAAUAUUUUUCUAGUGUCAGUACAUUCUUAAUUAUAUUUGAAAAAAAAAAAACAACAACAACUCAAAUCUAAUAUACUCUUGAAGAAACUGUAAAGAAAGUAAACAAUUGCCUAGGCACUGAGGUCAAAUGUCCACCCAGGCUUCUGUAGCACAAACUCUCGUAAGUUAGUCGUCGUGUUACGCUUCGUAAAGGUGUUUGUUACUCCCACUCCUGAUAUUCAGAAGUAUUUUCUAGAACUACAGAUUUUUCUUUAACUAUAGCUAAACUUGAGAACAAGUUAACAAUCAAACCACACUGGCUAAAUGAACAUGGACAAUCUAGCUAGCAUUGUUAGCAGCUGUAGCUAACGGUUGGUUUUAGGACAAAGCAUCUAACUGACAUUCAUAUUAAAAUUGUAGCGGUUUUACUGUAGUCCAUUUUUUUUUUCUGUGUCGUCCCUGCUAGGAUUUAUAUAAUAGCUGAGUACCGUUUGUCUUAAACCAGCAAUUCAAAUUUAGCCUUGCAUUAAGGGAGAUCACCUAAAUUUGUUUAAGGUUGCAGUUUGAAUGUGACUUUUUCUCACCCACAAAAAUCUGGUUUGAUUUUUUUAUACAUUAAUGUAACAUAUUCACUACAGUGAGCUUCAUAUUCUUUUUUUAACUUUAGUUUUUGAGUUUACUGUGUGCAGGCUUAUACUUUGGAACGGUUACUGUAAUUGUUUUGUAAACAGACUUCAUCCUAUCAGUGAAAUCACCAACACUUAGUCUUUACCCAGUGACGUUGUACUGUGUUGAUCGUUGUAUAAAUAUUGUAUAAUACAACAGUGCACAUUUAAAUGAAUUAAUGAACAAACAAAACAAGAGAGAAAAAAAAAUUAUAUAAUUUAGUUGCCAGUUGGAUUUGAAGGGUUCACGGGCCGGAAUUGGCCAGCGAGCCAGGAGUUUGAAACCCCUGCUGUAAACUGUAGGUGUAUAUGCUUGUUUAGUAUCAAAUAGAAUGGAAUAUAUAUUUAAUUGCAUUAGCAGGAGUUGCACAGUUAGCAUUAGCUGUUUCAGCAGCCCACCCAAAAUCUUUGAGCCAACUUCAAAUAUGAAUAUUUCAGUUAUUAGUAUGCUAAGUCCUCUUUUUCCUUUUCUUCUUUUAAUUAAUGCUGUUACUUUACCCUACCCUACUCUUACCUAUUGUGGGGAGACACAGUUCUAAAGAUUUGUAUUGUAAGCCUUAAAGGCUGGAUGAUCUCAGGCUCUGAAUACCUGCAUAUAAAAUCAAGCAAAACACCAUGUAAAAGUGAAAAAAGGGAUUAGAAGGGAUUAUUAAAAUUACAGAAAGUUUUUCAGAGUGCUAAGCAGAAUGUUAAUGCUGGGGAUUUUCAAAGACAUCGCUUGGCUUCGAUUCAGAACUUUUGCAUAAUUGUGGAACUGGUUGGUGAAGUCGGAGUGGUUUUAUGUGCUAUUUAAUGAACGGAUUUUAAGCGGUUCAAAGAUGUGUGCUGACCUACUUACUUCGCUUACUUACAGUACUUUACACACUUCGGUCGAGAUGAGAGAUUGGUUGUGAUUUUGUCCAACUUUGGGUUGUGAAACAAUCUUUUUUUUUUUAAAAAGCAGUGAAUCACAAAGCUAUGUUUCUCUGUUUGGAAGUGUCCAAACUGACUGGAUUGUCCAUCGUACCGGACCCACUCACUGUGGACUCUGUGGGUCACUGGGAGAAAAAAAAGUCUAGUAUUAUGAAAGAAACCAAAAAAAAGACAGCUCAGAAUUUCUGCUUGAGGGUGGUGUAGUGCACCCUCCACACAAAUAAACCCAGCAAAGUUUCCUGACACACUUACAGCAGCCUGUGCAUGACACGCAACGGAAACAGCAAGGCCUGGAAGAUAAACCACAAAUCAACUGAGGAAAUUUUGUCAAUUUAAAAUUAUCAUGAGCAGCAACAACUUUUAUAUUUGCUUCUGGUUUGUGUGGUAUAUCAAAGAUUGUCUAAGUCGUGUGUGACUGAAAUUGAGAAAUAUUGUAUUUUCAUUCUUUACCUCAUACAUUAAAUCCCAGUAUGUUGCAUUAUUUUUUAUGUAUAAAUCAAACAAUUAUAUCAAUACACUUUAAAGCAAAAUUGUUUUUUAAAUACUGUGGCAUAAAGUGACAAUUGUUCAUACAUUUUUAUGAAGACGUGACGUCGCAUAUUCUCUUACCAUUUCCAUGCACCAUUACUGCCCUCUUGUGGUUUAUAUUUGUAUUGCAUAUAUGGCAUUGUCUUUGGGCCAGUUAGCCAAUUUUCAGAAGCAGGUGUACUAGCAGUUUAAAUAUAUACAGUAUAGAAGUAAAAUUAAUAAUUGCAGGAACCGUUAUAUAUUAUUUAAACACAUGCAUAAUUAAAUGUGUCUAUGAUUGGUCAAAAACAUUAUUACAUUUUGAUCUCUUUACAAAUUUUAAAGUUUGUUAUUUAUGUAUUUUAUUUACACCGAUAGUGAUUAUAAAUAGUUUUACUGUUUUACUGUAUCUGAAUCUGUACCGUUGACACAUGAGAGAACAAUACGCAGUCAAACCAGUAGAUGGCGGUAUUUCAAGUAAAGUAAAUAGAAAGCCACAAACCAUCACCUGGUGGAUUGUGGGUGCCGUGCCGGACGUUUGUGAUUGGAUAACGAAGCGGAUCUGUGUCCUUUAGAAACGGAAGGAAGCGGUAAUACGGCCCUGUGACAGUAGCAAAAUGGCGUCGUGUGAAGGCGCAGAGAAAGAACUUUGCUAUUAUUACCUCGGCCAAAAGAAGAGGGUUAACCAAGUUGUUGCACUCCUGAUGAUGGGGCCAUCGUAAAUGUGAAUUGUUUUGCUAAUAAAAGACUAAAGUUAUUACUGUUCUGUUCAUUGUGGAAGUAUUCUGGUUGGAUUUUUAGCUUACUUUUUACUACUUAUUUUAGAUGCUAUGUAAAAACAAACUUGAAAAUAGAAACUAACUUUAAUAAAACUUUUAAAAAAACUGAAGUUGUGACUGUGGCGAUUGGGUCCGAUCACAAUUGCGUUCGGGCGGAAGUAAGACUAUGUUCCGCUUGCAUUAAGGCUCCCCUUUACACGCCCUGAAAAUGCCUGGUUACACAUGCCGUAACCCUAAUAA